rnacentral:rRNA from 1 species
GAUGAACGCUAGCGGCAGGCCUAAUACAUGCAAGUCGGACGGGCUUCCGGAGCUUGCUUCUGUUGAGAGUGGCGCACGGGUGCGUAACACGUAUGUAACCUACCUUUAUCUGGGGGAUAGCCUCCCGAAAGAGAGAUUAAGCCCGCAUAAAAACACAGUACAGCCUUGUGUACUGAUCAAAUAUUUAUCGGUUAAAGAUGGGCAUGCGGAACAUUAGCCGGAGGGCGAGGUAACGGCCCACCAUGGCGUCGAUGGUGAGGGGUUCUGAGAGGAGGGCCCCCCACACUGGUACUGAGGCACGGACCAGACUGCUACGGAAGGGAGCAGUAACGAAUAUAGUGCAAGGGACGGAAGCCGGAACCAGCCGUGCCGCGUACAGAAAGACGGCCCUACGGGUUGUAAACUGCUUUUAAACGGGAAUAAACCCAGAUACGAGUAUCCGGCUGAAUGUACUGUAAGAAUAAGGAUCGGCUAACUCCGUG